UACACGAGUGUAUGCAAAAAAGCAACGUUUUUCUAUAACAUACAAAGAAACACAAUAUCUUUAAAUUAAUCAAAUGCUUCCUCGGGCAAAGAACAUCUUUUCCCGAUUUUCCGCGUCUCCUUCAGUGCUAGACGGACGGAUUCUUCAUCUGCAGCAGCUGCAUUCUAAAAGAAACCAUUACAAAAAUAAGGAAAAAUUAAUUUUACAAACUAUGUCAUGUGUUUUCUUUGUUUCCUCAAUAUAACUCUGAUUAGAAUGUCAAACAAAGAUAAAAUCAUCCGUAUUAAUAGUCAAUAUCGUGUAUAUUAUUAAUAUGAGCGUCUUUGCGUUAAAUUCGUGCUACACCACACCAUGCACUUAUAUCGACGUCGCAAUGCAAAAGAAGAAGGGCAAGAAAGAAACCUGUCCUGGUCUGGCGAUUUAAGGGAACAUUUGUUUAAGUUUGAGCCUGUCUAGAUCUUUUAUCAGUCUAGAAAGAUGUUGGAGAAAAGACAUCAUCCUCUUCUAUAAUCUCCAUCUGUAAUUGGACUAACAACUGGACCAGUGAAUGCAGGCAACUUACUCUCCAUUCGACCUUGCAGGUCACACCAUGGUCUCAAGAGGGAAAAUGAGUGCUCUAUGGAUUGAACAGAAAAGGUGAAUCAAAACUCCAACCAUCUGUAUGAGGGUCUGGAUGGAUAAAGGAUGCCCACUGGAGCUGGAAAUGAUGGAUCAGGUGGAUCCACACUUGAACCAUCUGUAUGAUGAUCUGCACCCACUGGAUCUGUAAAUGGUGGUGCAGGUUUCUGAAUUGAUGUCAGAUGCAAAGCAGAAGCUUAUUUUCUGCCAGUUUGGCUUCAUUGUGGAAAAAUGCUUGAAACUAAAAUGCAGAAUUCUGGCCUGGUGUUUGGUCCCCCUUUCUCUGGCUUGUGUCUCCAUCAUCAUUACACUCUUGUCAGUGUAAUAGUAUCGUCGUCUGCGUACCAGGACUUUGUUACUCAGCUGUCCCUUCUCCUUCAAGC